rnacentral:rRNA from 1 species
UACAGAGACUGCAAGCGUUAUUCGGAUUCACUGGGCGUAAAGGGUGCGCAGGCGGCCAAGUGUGUGAGGCGUGAAAGCCCGGGGCUUAACCCCGGAAUUGCACCUCAAACUACAUGGCUAGAGCAUUGGAGAGGGUAGCGGAAUUCACGGUGUAGCAGUGAAAUGCGUAGAUAUCGUGAGGAACACCAGAGGCGAAGGCGGCUACCUGGACAAUUGCUGACGCUCAGGCACGAAAGCGUGGGGAGCAAACAGG